CCUAGCCAAUUUGGUCUAUUGAGUUUCAAAUUUGGAUUGCUUAAUAUUGUAGACACUACAAAGACCUUCCUUCGUACUAAGUCAAUAAAGUAUGUCAAGAUCUAUAGUGAGUUUGUUGUACUAUCUACAAGACUUGCUAUGAAGAUUAAUAUGAUGUUGACUAAGUAUAUUUUGAUGUUUAUGGCAUAUUUGAAUAGUGUUGCUUUGUUGUGCUAUCCACAAAGAUAGCAUUAUUUAAGUAUGACCA
rnacentral:lncRNA from 1 species